AUUCUGACCUUAUUAGUUUUUUUUCUUUUUUUUUCCCCUUUUUAUGACAUCUGUAUUAAUCUGAACCAUAGAUUCUUGUAUGAUUUUAUUGUUACUAAUUUUUUUUUUUUUGGGGCAGUGACUGAAGCACUUGUAUUCUAUUGGCUUGUAAACUACUUUUUUUUUUUUUAGUAGUUUUUAGCAAUGAUGGCAAGAAUUCGCAAUGAUUUUGCUCAUCAUAGAUUCAGUGGUUGGGGGACAUUGUUUAUGCAUUGAAAUCCAG
rnacentral:misc_RNA from 1 species